GAUGAAGAACGCAGCGAAAUGCGAUACUUGGUGUGAAUUGCAGAAUCCCGUGAACCAUCGAGUCUUUGAACGCAAGUUGCGCCCGAAGCCAUUAGGCCGAGGGCACGCCUGCCUGGGCGUCACACGUCGUUGCCCCCCCAUCUACUCCUUCGGGAUUGCGGGGGGCGGAUGAUGGCCUCUCGUGCGCCUUGUCGCGCGGUUGGCCUAAAUGCCAAGUCCUCGGCGACGCACGCCACGACAAUCGGUGGUUGCGAAACCUCGGUUGCCUGUCGUGUGCGGUCGUCGCGCAUCGAGGGCUCGAAAAAAUUGCCGGGCUUCGGCUCGACUUUCAACGCGACCCCAGGUCAGGCGGGGUUACCCGCUGAAUUUAAGCAUAUCAAUAAGCGGAGGA
rnacentral:misc_RNA from 1 species